ensembl:lncRNA
CCCCCCCCCUCACUUGUUGCAUUUUUGUAAAGCUUUAAAACUAUACCUAAUGGUAUCUUUUAAACCCAGAAUGACAAAAAUGACAAAACCACAUUGGUUUUCUAUGACACAGUUUUAUCUAAAAUUAACUUUCUUUCUUUCCAUCAUGAGCCUAAUUUGUACCACAUUCAGGCUCAGGAUGAUGAAGAGGCAGUCUGCUGGGUAAACAGCUUGUGAGCUUUAAAGGAGCUUGUUUGGCAUGAUGGCUAGGAAUUUGCUGCAGCUAUUCUACAUGUGUGUCAGGUCAGCAAAAACAAUAACAAGGGACCAUAAAGCACUCUUAAUCCCAAAGUCUUUCCAGUGAAAAGUUAACAUACAUUAAAUAUGAGCUGUUGGCAGCUGAAUCCUGUUUUCAUCUGUAACACAUCAUUUGGUUUAUAUUCAAAUCAAUGAUUGGCACAUAAAGCUCUAACCAAUUUAUCUAUCUCUUACCUCUACUUCUAAAUAAUGGCUUGCAAAGGAGGCAGCUGCAGAAUUCUUAACACACACACACACACAAACAGGGUUUGUCUGUAAUUUCUGCUGCAGCAAACCUGUUACUGAGACUUCUACAAUCACCUUGCCUUUGACAAACCAGGAUUUUUGCUAUCUGUACUCCUCUCUCCGUCUAUCAUCUAUCUAUCUCUAAUCACAUGUAUUUUAAUAUUUCUUUUUUUAAAAUGGGGAAUCUGGCUGUAUGUCAAAUGAAGACUAAAAGAGCUCGCUUUUAAUAAGAACAGUAUGUCCUUAAAACGGCAUAUUUAGCUAGCAGAAUGUUAACUGCAAGGCCAGCAAAGUAAUUUGGAAGUCGAACUUCACCUAAGUGUUAAUGAUGAAGCUCUGGGAAGUUUUGCCUGUAAUGAGGCACCAUGCAGGAGGAACUACCAGUUGGGAUUCCUAUCGCAGCCAUAUGUGAGGCCAAUGUUGCAUGAAUUAACAUACGGUGGCGGGAUCACUAUGUUCAAGAAAGAGACCAAAGUGGCAGCUCCCGCCCCCGCCACCAUCCCUGACUGCUACCAUUUUCUCAAACAAUCCACAAUUAUCUGGAUACCACACAAUGACAAAAGGUGGCAAGGAUGGAUGAGUAGAGAAGACAAUAGAGCCCAGGACUGCCUAUUCAACAAUAUCCUAUUAUCUGGAAUUUCAAGGCCAAAGCUUGAGACAGUGGAUUCUUGGGACAGCGUAGGGCAAGAUUUUACGAUGUCAUAGAGGCAGGUCAGUAAAGGGUUGGUUGAAAUGGCAUGAUGGGCCCUAUGUCACAGGAAGGCUGCACUGGCCAUCCCAAAAGCUCAAAAAUACCAGAAAGGAAGGAAGGAAGG